UACAGAGGUCCCAAGCGUUGUUCGGAUUCACUGGGCGUACAGGGUGCGUAGGUGGUUGCGUAAGUCUGAUGUGAAAUCUCCGGGCUUAACUCGGAACGGUCAAGUGAUACUGUUGUGCUAGAGUACAGAAGGGGCAAUCGGAAUUCUUGGUGUAGCGGUGAAAUGCGUAGAUAUCAAGAGGAACACCAGAGGCGAAGGCGGAUUGCUGGGCUGAUACUGACGCUGAGGCGCGAAAGCUAGGGUAGCAAACGGG
rnacentral:rRNA from 1 species